rnacentral:rRNA from 1 species
CAGGCCGCGGGAAUACGUAGGGUGCGAGCGUUGUCCGGAAUUAUUGGGCGUAAAGAGCUUGUAGGCGGUCUGUCGCGUCUGCUGUGAAAACCCGAGGCUCAACCUCGGGCCUGCAGUGGGUACGGGCAGACUAGAGUGCGGUAGGGGAGAACGGAACUCCUGGUGUAGCGGUGGAAUGCGCAGAUAUCAGGAAGAACACCGAUGGCGAAGGCAGUUCUCUGGGCCGUAACUGACGCUGAGAAGCGAAAGCGUGGGGAGCGAACAGGAUUAGAUACCCCUGUAGUCCCUGUCUCUUAUACAA